CGUAACAAGGUUUCCGUAGGUGAACCUGCGGAAGGAUCAUUACCAAAAACAAGCUCUUUGCCGGGCAACCGGCAGAGUUCUACACCCUUUGUGAACCAAAAAAAACUUACUGCUUCGGUAGCAGGCUGGCCUUAACCCGUCAGUUGUAAGCCUGCCGGUAGCAACCAUACAAAUCCAUUGAACUAAUCAUGAACUGUCUGAAUUAAAUUUUCGAAUGAAAAUUAAAACUUUCAACAACGGAUCUCUUGGUUCUCGCAUCGAUGAAGAACGCAGCGAAACGCGAUAGUUAAUGUGAAUUGCAGAAUUCAGUGAAUCAUCGAGUCUUUGAACGCACAUUGCGCCCAUUGGUAUUCCGAUGGGCAUGUCUGUUUGAGCGUCAUUACAAAUCUCAUUUCUUUGGUUUGUUCUGAACGAAAUGGUCUUGGGUUGGGGGUGUUGUAAAACUCAAUCUCACCUUAAAACUGCACGCUCUGCGGGUUGCUUUGCCUGAACGAACAUGGUAAUUAAACUUCUGUUCCUGACCGGUGAAGAGUUAACUCGCCUGAAUAAAAACCAAAUUUUUAAUGGUUUGACCUCAGAUCAGACAA
rnacentral:rRNA from 1 species